rnacentral:rRNA from 1 species
GACGAACGCUGGCGGCGUGCUUAACACAUGCAAGUCGAACGAAGUGGCGAACGGGUGAGUAACGCGUAAUCAACCUGCCCUUCAGAGGGGGACAACAGUUGGAAACGACUGCUAAUACCGCAUACUGAAGGAGGGGAUUGCGUCUGAUUAGCUCGUUGGAGGGGUAACGGCCCACCAAGGCGAUGAUCAGUAGCCGGGCGGAGAGGAUGAACGGCCACAUUGGGACUGAGACACGGCCCAGAAUCCUACGGGAGGCAGCAGGGGGGAAUCUUCCGAAAUGGACGAAAGUCUGACGGAGCAACGCCGCGUGAACGAAGAAGGGCUUCGGAUUGUAAAGUUCUGUGAUUCGGGACGCGGUACCGAAAAAGCAAGCCACGGCUAACUACGUGCCAGCCGCCGCGGUAAUAC